AUUGAACGCUGGCGGCAGGCCUAACACAUGCAAGUCGAACGAGUGGCGGACGGGUGAGUAAUGUCUGGGAAACUGCCUGAUGGAGGGGGAUAACUACUGGAAACGGUAGCUACUACCGGAUGCCUGAGGAUGAGCACGCGUUGGAUUAGGUAGUUGGUGGGGUAAAGGGUUACCAAGCAGACGAUCCAUAGCUGGUCUGAGAGGAUGAUCAGCCACACUGGGACUGGGAAACGGCGCAGACUCCUACGGGAGGCAGCAGUGGGGAAUAUUGGACAAUGGGCGAAAGCCUGAUCCAGCAAGGCGGGAGAGUGAUGAAAGCCCUAGGGUUGGAAAGCUCUUUUACCCGGGAAGCGGUACCGGGAGAAUAAGCCCCGGCUAACUCCGUGCCAGCAGCCGCGGUAAUUC
rnacentral:rRNA from 1 species